CUGCAAAACCCCCCAAAAAUUUGAAAACACGUGGCAGCAAUUCUUUGAAUUCAAAAAGUACACUGCACUAUGGAAAGAACGGUACAUACAUUUUACGUAGGUUGCCUUUAAGUGGGUCAUAUAAGUUUUGCCAUCAAUUUAGCAACCUUAAGGGGCAAGUUUGGUUAAAACUCUACAGAAAAAAAAAAAAAAAAAAAAAACAGUAGACACAUCUACUUGAAAACCCCAAAAUUUGAAAACGCCCGGUAGCAAUUCUUGAAUGCAAAAUUAAAAAAUGGAUUUUGAUGAUUGGGAAUUGAGUGCAGAAGAAUUAGACAAUCUUGAAAGAGAUGCUUUAAAGCAAAUUGCUGAGCGAAAUGCAUCUUCUUCUUCUGCUACUACUAGUAAUGCUUUUCGGGUUACACAUAAACGGGAAGAUGCGUUAUCUGCUGCACUUACAAUGAGGCCUUCAUCAGGGUAGAUAAGGUCUCUGGGAAAAACUCUUGUGGAAAUUCUGGGCCUCAUGAAUGCAAUCAUGUGAAACAGUUAACAGAAAAGCGUUCUGUUAAAUUUUUCCUUCAUGCAACUGGAAAUAUUGCUGCAAAGUUUUCAUAUGACCAGAUACUUGUUGAAGCUUUCCGCAAAAUCCCUAGAGCUAGUUGGAGUGCAAAAGAGAGGUAUUCUUCUCCUUUUCUUUUUUAUGCUUCCCUCCACCCUCAAUUUUCCUUUUCCUUUCAAAUAAGUCUAGGCAGGCAGCAAGCUGCUACGCAAUAUCCCCCGUCAUGCCCUAUUUUUUAACAGGUUAAAAUUAGUUCUUAGUUCACAACUUAUGACUAUGUUUCCUCUGGUUUUGAAAAUUUUCAGAGUCGCCACCUAAUUUUAGGAAAUAUUAGGAAACCAUUUGUAAAAAAAAGUAAACUCCAUUUUUUAGUCUUUGAAACCUGUGAGAUUCUAGGUAAGAGUUUUAUUUACCCCGAGGGGAAGGUGUUAAGCAUCCCUCAGAGCCUAUCCGAAGACAGUCUUUAAACUUAGCUUAAUUAGCACUAGAGGGAAAUUAUUUCUUAUUUAUUGUCACCUAUUUAAAGAAUUGCGGAAAAGAAACUACUCUCUCAAAACUAUUUGUAUAAAAAAGGGUUUUUUAAUGUAAUUGUAACUAUGUGAGUAAAUGCAUAUAUAUAAAGGAAGUAGUUAAUGCUAAUGUGUGCAUGAGAAAAAUAUGUAUGACAUUUGUUUUAUCUAGAGUAAUAUGGAUAAUAUAGAAUAAGAGGAUAUAUAUAUAUAUUUUAUAAGAAAAUAAUGUGUAUACGUGAUAUGUAUAUCAUGGGUAACUAAAAAAAAUAGUUAUUGAUGACAUGAUAGUACUAUAUAGAUGCAUAAAUGUAAAGACGACCGAGAGAAUUAAUGGAAAUAAGGUAGUAUAUGUAUGACAUUUGUUUUAUCUAGAGUAAUAUGGAUAAUAUAGAAUAAGAGGAUAUAUAUAUAUAUAUAUAUAUAUUAUAAGAAAAUAAUGUGUAUACGUGAUAUGUAUAUCAUGGGUAACUAAAAAAAAUAGUUAUUGAUGACAUGAUAGUACUAUAUAGAUGCAUAAAUGUAAAGACGACCGAGAGAAUUAAUGGAAAUAAGGUAGUAUAUGUAUGGUACGUGUUUAAAAAAAAAAAUAGUAUGUAGGCAUACUCAUUGUAAAGUUAUAUGUACUAGAGAUGUAUAUUAUUUACAAAAAAGAGUACAAGUGUAUUUUUUGAAGAUUAGGUAUAAAUAUGGCUAUUGUAUAUAAGGACAGUAUAUAUAAUAUAGAGUAUGAAAAUACAUAUUUUUUAUGAGAAAAUAAUAUAUCCAUGGAGUAUGUCUAUCAUAUGUAAAAAUAGUAUAAAGAGGUAUACUUUUUAGAAAUAGCCAUGGAAAAUAUAAUAAUAUGUAUAAAUAUCGUGAUAUAUAUAUAUAUAUACACACACACAUUGUGUAAAGAUGAUUGGAUGAUUUUAGUAAAAAAUAAGAUAGUAUAUAUAUAUGUAUAUAAAAAAAAAUAGAGUAUGUACCUCAUAGCUCUCGCCUCUCGCAAAAUAACUUGGGCCACUAUACUUGAGCCCUGAUAUAAAGUUCUUAAUUAAACUUGAAAACAUAAAAAAAAAUCUACUUUCAUGUCAGUAAUACAAUAGUUGAAAAACUGAUUUGGGCCCUUUCUCGAAAAAUCAUUUUUCCUUUGAGCCAAUGUAACCUCUUUGAAACCACGUUCAAAUCCAUUUUGAGAAAAACUUGGCUUACGCCCUUAUACUUUCAGAUAGGCUGAAAAAUAUUGUUAUCCGCAACAUAAUUUGUAAAGAGGCUUCUACCAUUUAUACUAAAAAAAAUUAAAAGAAAAAUCAUCUCAUCCUAAAAGUACGCUAAAAAGGAGGUCAUUUAAAAAUGAUUAAUAAAAUACCUUUUACUCUAAAUCAAGGUUAGCAUCUAAAGAGGGAGGGAAAUCAACGAGUGUUCACUAUCACGUAAAAGUCUGUUUACGCAAACCCAAACACAAAUUAAUCAAAGCGUAAAUACAAAUACCAAAUUGGUACAAUUGUUAGUCAAAUCGUAUGUAUAAAAAAGAAGAAGAUAAAAGUAAGAAGAGAGGGAAAAGGACGUGGACGCGAACGAGGCUGCUAGACACAAGCGAAUGACAUUGCUGUUUCUUUAUUUCCGAGCAGUCUUGGAGUUGUCAUACAACUCCAGUAUACUCCUUAUCCGUGACAGCGAACUGAGGCUAUUGUCAUCGUCGAGUCUCCGAAUCCGCUCAAAGUUAUUUGUUGUCAAGCCGAGAACUUGAAAGAAGAUUUCAAUAACCAAAAAAACUUAGAGUUAAAAACUGGAAUUUUCCCCGAACCCAAGUUCUAAAGCAAUAGGAAUUUUAUAAGAGGGAAAACUUAUGAAAAACAAAAGACUUUUUUGUGGUUCUUUAACCUUGUCUAAAACAGCCCUCAAAGGCCAGUAUUUAUAGCUGAAGAUUGGAGCAUUUCAACAGCUUCUUCAAGAAGCUUCUUUCGCCUUUGAAUUUCGAAUCAAAGAGGGGGGAAAAAUUGACGUUUUCAACAGAUGAGAUGGUGAAAGGGGUGAAAUCUCACCUUUUCAGACUGAUUGGGAAGGGAAAAGGUCGUUGGGGUGUAGAGUAUGGUGGUUCUUGCCAUUGUUCAUCGAAUUGAAGGACGAUUAUCUUCCAGACCGAAGGAUUUAAGAAUCUUUCCCUUUACAGCUUUGGAAACGUCUUCAAUGAAAAUGGGAAAAGGUGAUAGGUGAUAGGCGAUAGGAGAUGGGUGAUGGGAGAAAAGGCGACUGAUGAGGACAGUGGCGUCGAUGACCACUUUGAUCCAGCAGUCCGACAGUGGAGCCGGCGGUGAGGUGACGGAAGUGACAAGGGUGGUGGCGAUGGGGUGGGUGGUGACGCUAGGUUUCACUUUUGGGAGAGAAAAGGGGCUGGUCUGAUUAUUUAGUUAGGAUGAAAAAAUGGGUUGAAGACUUAGUUGGGUAUUUUAGUGUUUGUUGGGCUGGGUCGGGUCGGUGGGGUUUUGGGCUGGGGCGGUUGGUGUUGGGCUGAACGUUUUGGGCUGCUGAAUUGUGAAGAUUUGAGAAUUAGUUUGGCCCAAUUCAAUAGAUGAAUUUAAUCAUCCUAAUUCCUUUUCAUUUUGAACUAAUUAAAAUAUGCUUCUUUGUCCUAAUUAAUUCUCUACAUAUGAAAAUUAUAACACAAGUAAUUUAAUAUACGUAUUUAGCUUAAAAUAGAAUAACCGAUGAUUAACAUAGUAAUAAACAGGAUUAAAGGAAAAAUGCCAACGCCAAUAUUGAUACAGGAAUAUCAACACUAUUUUUUGAGUGAUUUAAUUGUAAAGAAUGAUGUUUAGUAAUUUUUAUAAUUAAAAAUAUGGUGUUUGGUAAUAUUUUAGAAACAAUAAGAAUGUUAUUAACUUUAGAGAAAUAUAUCUCGAAAAAUAGCGUAAUAAUUAAUGAAAAUAUUCCAAGCUCAUUCUGGCGAAUUUUCAGGACUGAGAAGCAUAGUGAAAUUAAUUAAACGAAAAAGGAGGGCCAAAAUUGGGUGUCAACACCCCCCGCCCCACAACAACAACAAUCUCAGUCCCAAGCUAGUUAGAAUCGGCAAAAUGAAUCCUCAUUUCCAAUAAACCCCGAAAAAGAGGAGAUAUAGGAAUUAAAAGUCUAAAAGAAACAAAAAGGCAUCAUGUUUUCUGGGAUUUCACCCAAGUACGCAAACUGAUAGCAAAUAUUUCUUCAUUGUAUUCUUUUCUCUUGUGAAUUGUGACCCUAAACUGCCUUAUUGUGGAUGUCAAGUAUAUUCGUAAUCUGUGUCAUAAAAAAAGAAAAAAAAGAAAGAAUAUUUAUUUUCUGGGAAGUACUACCCUCCCAUCUUUUGAAUUGCUCCAUCCUUAAGACAAUGACAUUUUUUAUUUUGUUUUUGACUCUGUGGUGUUAUAUCGUUAGAUUAUGGGUUGACCAAGAAUCUUAAAUCAUGUUUGCCAAGGACGAUUUUAAAAUUCAAAUGCAGUGAGUCCCUCUUUAAAUGUUGUAGGUUGUGAAUGUUUCCUUUGUCAUCGUUGUUGGUAGCAGAAAAAGUUCUUCGUGAAUUUUUUGGCUCCAAUCAACCCUCAGGGGUUGGCCUGGUGGCAAUUGACUUGAGCCUUGGAGUGCUCCCUUUCAAGGUCUCAAGUUCGAAACCCGCUGGGUGCUCUGAGGGCCAUCGGACCGGGGAAACCCUGAAUUACCCGUGGUGCACUUGCGGGAAACUCCUUGCCGAGGGCCUGUGCACCCCCGGGAUUAGUCGAGUCUCAAAGAGACUCGGACACCCGGUGCUAAUAAAAAUAAAAAAAAAAUUCUGGCUCCAAUCUGGAGGUGAGGAGUUGCAAUUCCUUUUGGUCUUCCCGAAUUACAGUUUCCCAAAUUCAGAUGAGACUACAAAAACAAUUAGGAGUUAGCUUCGGUGGAACUUAAAUAUCUUGAAUCUUCUUCGGCUGCAUAUGGCAUAUGAUAGCAGCAUCGCGCUGCCGCAUGAUGUCAUUUAGGUAACAACAGUUUUACUAGGUUACUAACCCUAGCGUUGGGGUUGUUCCCACCAGAACAAGUCCAUCAAACGCCUUAAAAUGCCAUCCUCAGCUAAGCGGGUUAACAACAGGACCACCGCCUGGUUAUGAACAGUCCGCCUGGGUCGGUCUCUAUCUAACCUUGAACAUCAUGUUUUGGCUUUGAUCAUAAUACAUUAUUACCAUGAUCUCAGUAGUCUAGUGUGACGUAAUUCAACGGAGUAUUUAGCCUAUAAGGCUAAACAUAGACUGAAUGAAAAUAAAAAUUUAAAAAGAAAAUAAAAAAUUUAUACCUUAAAGGAUGAAGGUUGUGCUCAGUAGAGAAGGAAUUUAUAUAAACAGACUUUUAUUUAUGAGGGAAGAUUUUUACAAGAGAGUGGUAGAGGGCUUGUGCUUGAAUAUCCAAGACUUGCCUUCUUCCUAAGAAGGAUGAUCCUUAUAUAACGGAUCAAACACACUGAACAACAAAAUAAAAAUGGCCGACAACAUCAUGGCCAGGUAAAAGUAAAAACGGAAAGUAAAAAGUAAAAGUGGCCGAAGUGACCAAAAGGGAAAACAUAAUUAUUACAAUACAAAUAAUUAAAGUUGCUUUAUAAAAGCAAAUUCCUCUUUAUUCAAGUAGCCGCCUAAUGGCGGGUCCCACCAAUCACUUCAUUGGUGACUUGCCCUUGUCUUUUGUAGGGCUGGAAGAUUCUUCCGUCUGGCCAAUGAAUUGGGCCAUGAUUUGUGAAAAGUCCUCAGUAUUAUCUGGAUUUUGAGAUUCUCCUGUUAAGACUUAAGUAUUAUGAUCAUCUUCUUCUUCAUCAUCAUCAUUAUCAGUGGUAUGACCGACAGAUGCUAUUGAUGUAUCAGAAAUAGCUUCCAUAUUAAGAUGCUGCAGUAAAUCAUAUUUAAAUUCCUCCAUGUAUGUGGCUAUAAGCUGCUCUGGGGGAAUUGCUUCUUUCUUCAUCUGAAUUUUUCGAGCAAUAUGCUCAAAAGUACUAAAUCUCCUUUUGUCUGGAAUUAAUGGAGUCUUUAUAAUGUGCAAUGGUGGUUUUAAUCUGAUUUAUUAAAUCUUGUCCUGGGAUAGUUCCAUCUUUUGAUUUUUGAAUCAGUUUUUUUUUCAGAAUUUUGUAUAAAAACAUCUGUUUAAACAAGGCAUAUUUUGCGGGGUAUAACCCACUUCAACCGACCAUUUCAUAAUCCAUGGAAUAGAAAAUUUAAUGAAGAAAUACAUAUUAGAAAUUUCUUCAGAGAAGGUGCUAUUAUUUUUCAAAAUUAUAAUUUUUGGAGAAACAUCAACCCAUUCAUUAUAUAAACUUUUGAAGGGUUCUGGUAGAAAUUUUACUGUUGGACCAUAGUAGAUCCACCAUUGAUAAAACCAAUUUGGAAUGCCCUGUUUAUAAACAUUGGCACAGAUUUUUAUAAACCAUGAGUGUUUUCUAUUAGGAUUCUCAUAUAGAAAAGCUUUAUUAAAACUUUUAACAUAAUCCCAAUAAUUAAAUUUAAUUGGGACCUUUUGUUCGGGGUGGAUAUAAUCCCUGUCCUUUAAUGGACUUAUUUCCCACUCAUUUGGAGAAAAUAUCUUUUUUAUGAUAAUUUUUGAAAAGUUAUAAACUUUUUUGCUAUUAGCAGGAUAAAAAUGAUACCCUGUAUAUGAAAGGAUCAUUUCAUAAUUCAUCCGAUAUUUAUAAGUCGGAGUAGUGUAUGACGCUGUAUCAAAAUACCUUUGCAUUAUUUGCCAAGGUUCGUCCUUCCAUUGGAGAUCAUCAUUUUCAAGGAGAAUUAUUAACUCUCGAUGGAUAUUUUCUUCGUAUGAAUCAGUGUCCUCAUUAUCAUCUGUUACGAGAGCACUGGAAUAUGAUGGAGGCAUAUUAUCCCCUUUUUUCCAUGCUUCUAUGAAAGCAAGAUACUCAGCAUAAGUGAUUUGUUUCUGGGUAUUACCAGAAGUUUCUGCAAUAUUAUCGGCUAUUAGCCUUUUGUUAUCCAUUUGGGCAAGAGCAGUGCCUCUGCCCGUUCCUUUUGUCCUCUUCCCCUUCCUCUAUUAGAGGUGGGUGAUUGUGUGGGUCUCAUCCUGCAAAUGAGAAAAUGACAGUUAUGAACUUAAAUAUUCUCGAGUGAGAAAAUCAGGAAGAUUAUUAUCUGAUCCCUUUUUAUAAUGUAUUUCAAAAUCAAAUGGUGCUAAAAGAGCUUGCCAUCUGACAAACAUUUGUUUAGAAACAUCAUCUCUUAGCAGGAGAAUCUCAAAGUCCAAAUAAUACCGAGGACUUUUCACAAUUCAUGGCCCAAUUCAUUGGCCAGACGGAAGAAUCUUCCAGCUCUACAAAAGACAAGGGCAAGUCACCAAUGAAGUGAUUGGUGGGACCCGCCACUAGGCGGCUACUUUAAUAAAAAGGAAUCUGCUUUUAUAAAGCAACUUUAAUUAUUUUUAUUGUAAUAAUUAUGUUUUCCCUUUUGGUCACUUUCGGCCACUUUUACUUUUUACUUUCCGUUUUUACUUUUACCUGGCCAUGAUGUUGUCGGCCAUUUUUAUUUUGUUGUUUAGUGUGUUCGAUCCGUUAUAUAAGGAUCAUCCUUCUUAGGAAGAAGGCAAGUCUUGGAUACCCAAGCACAAGCCCUCACCACUCUCUUGUAAAAAUCUUCCCUCAUAAAUAAAAGUCUUUUUAUAUAAAUUCUUUCUCUACUGAGCACAACCUUCAUCCUUAAGGUAUAAAUUUUUUAUUUUCUUUUUAAAUUUUUAUUUUCAUUCAGUCUAUGUUUAGCCUUAUAGGCUAAAUACUCCGUUGAAUUACGUCACACUAGACUACUGAAAUCAUGGUAAUAAUGCUUUAAUGAAUCAUGAUCAAAGCCAAAACAUGAUGUUCAAGGUUAGGUAGAGACUGACCCAGGCGGACUGUUCAUAACCAGGCGGUGGUCCUGUUGUUAACCCGCUUAGCCGAGGAUGGCGUUUUAGGGCGUUUGAUGGACUUGUUCUAGUGGGAACAACCCCAACGCUAGGGUUAGUAACCUAGUAAAACUGUUGUUACCUAGAUGACAUCAUGCAGCAGCGCGAUCCUCAAAUUAGUUGGUAUUGUCAUAACAAACUCUCUAUAUUCAUUUUUGUUAGAUUAAAAUUGAUUUUAUUCAAAUAUAUUUAUAUUUUGUAUUUAAACCAAAUUAAAAAAUACUUAAUAUGAAAGGUUCUCUAAGAUCUUAUACUUAUUCAUACAAGUAAAAUGGUAGUAUAUUAAUUAAACCUGCUAUUAAGAGAUGGGACCAAUGAAGCAUGGACAUUGGCAUCCUUUUGGUAACAAGGAACAUGGCUGUUCCAGAAGCUAAAUUAAUAUAUGGUGAUUAACUAAUACUGUCCCGUUGACAGUUGAAUGAUGAAAACAAAAUUAAUUAUGCCCCGAAAUGCAGGGUAGGACUGUUGACACCCAAUUUCGUCCCUUCAUUAUUCCAAUUUAUUUCCUUGGGCAUCUAAAUUUAUUAACGAGCUAAAUACUUUGUUUUCGCUACUAUUUUCUAUUUCACUACUAUUAAUAUCGUUACUUUCAUUUUCACUGUUUUACUAUCAACAUUACUAGCAUUACGUUAUCACAUUUUUUUUUUUUAUAGUUCGUCUUCAUUUCAUUUUCGGAUUUGGACUCGUUAAAUUAAUUACAAGUCAACACUUUAUUAAAUCCUUACUUUCUACAUAUUAAUUACUAAUUGUCUUCACAUAGUAUACAUUGUACUAGUUAUUAAGUUAGAAGCCCAAAAGAAUUAAUUAGAAGAAGAAAUACCCAACAAAUUCAGCUAGCCCAAUUCGUGACUAGUCUUUUUUUUUUUUAAAAAAAAACAGAUCAGCCCACAAAUGUUUCAAAACCACCCAACCCACCAGGCGAGACCAGCCCAUUACCCUCUACCCGCUCCUACCCGACCCGGCCCACUCUCUUUUAAACCCAUCCGUCGUCCACAAGCAAAAGAAGAGGAAAACGUAAAGGGAAAAUGAGCGCAGCCACGCCUCCAUUUCCUUGUCGUCUUCUCUUCUCUCUCCCCUCCAUUUCCAGCAAAAGCCUAGCCCUCUUUAGCCAUGAACAGGCUUGUCUACCACAUUUUCGUACCAAAUUUGUCGUUCUUUCUGUUACCUGCAUGUGUUUGUCGAUUGAAAGGGAAAGGUCUGCUCAUCUUGCUUCAAAACACGCGAUAAUCUCCAAAAUCAGAGAAAGUCUAGCCAUUUUGAGUAAGAUCUGAAGCCAAUCACGUGAAUAGUGUUUGGUUUCUAAUUUGGCAUGGCCAUAAUUAUUAGUCCUGUUUAGAUUAGCUUAACCAUCUGUUAGUUCUCAGUUAAGAUGAUCUUGCUUUCAUUAAACGUAUGUUUGUUUGCUUCUGUUUGUUAAGCCAGGAAUUGGCGUAUAAAUUUUAUGGGAAUGAGUCAGCCUGAAUGUUGUCUGGUUUCAGUCUAGUGAACUCUAAAGAAUUUCCUAUAAGAGCAUACGUGAAAAGAGAUUUAGUCUCAGAUACUUGUUUCGUCUUGUUUGGUUUCAAAUCUGUUACUGUCCAUUAAAGUCUAGUUUAGUUGUUUUCAUGAUAAGUAACUUAGGCCAUUAGUUCAGUAAUCUUCCUUCGUUUCAUUUUAGUUCAGUUCUUAGUUUGGCUGCUGCACAAGUAUAAAAAAAAAAAAUGAAAUUAUUUGUUGGUUAUUUAUUUUGUAAGUUUAUUUAAGGCAUGACACUGCACUUUCUUAUGGCCAGGCAUGAGAAUAUGUUUUUGUUAUAUGUUUAAGUUCCGUUGUGUUUGAUAAGUUUGUAGCCUUACUCUUUUUCCUCUUCCCUGAUCAAAAGCCUAUCGUAAAUGCCUCAUAAUGUUCAGUUAUUUGCUUGAUUUGAGAUAUGUGAUCGAGGUAUAAAUAUUAAUCAAGGGUUCAGUUUGCCCUGUUUUACCUUCAAUGAGAGAAGUUUAAUACUCCUUAUGUGAUUCUUGAUAAGUUUUAAGUUCCAAUCUGUCAGUCCAUUUCUUUUUAGUUUGCUUUCUUUUUGUCAAUUGUAGUUGGGAUAUUUUAUCAUUAUCGACAAGUAUCUGCAGUAAUAGGCAUCAUGCCCACUGGUUCAGUAUUUUAUUUGGUUUGAUUUUGUUAUAAUACUAAAAAUGUUCUUUGUUCAAAUGCUAUCUAGAAACUAUAAAGUAGUAACUCUUUUGUUGGUUAAUUUACGGUGCUACUUUUUGUAUUCCACAUGAUGCUUAGAUUAAUUUAUGUAUAGGAAUCAUGUUUUAGGAUCUGUUUCUUAACUAUGUGCUGUAAUCACAUGUUGUGAAGAAAUUAUAGGCUCUGGACUUACCUCUGGGUAAGUCGAGUUACAAGUCGUGUGUAUUUUUUUUGUGAUUAUAUGUCCAGAUAUAAUGUUUUCAUCUACUUAAGGAAAGAUGUUUACCAGUUUAAGCAUAAAGUUGAUUCAGAUGACCUUCUUCUUUAAGUAUUACGAUUUCUAUUGUAUAAAGAAGACAAGUUCUGUCAAAUGAGAUAGUCAUUUGAAGAUGAACUUUAUGAUUAUUAUUUUAUGCGAGUAUGUUGGGCUAUUCUUUCUUAUCUAUGAUUGAAGGUGUUGGGUCGCAUGUACAUUUUACAGCUUGUUUGUCAUCAUGAGUUAUUUCUUAAGUCGUGUUUGAAUUGGUCAUCCUUGUGUUAAGCUCUUUUCUUGAUUGAAUUUGCUAAGCAUGGAUACCUUCUAAUCAUUAUUCUCCCUUUCUUUUACAUGUACAUUCCGGAGCAAAAUGGAGACUCCCACUGCCCGAGCAGUCUCAUUUGGAGACUAUGCCGCCGCUAAAUCCGAUAGCAUCUCCUACUCAUUUCCCUCACAUACUCCUCUCGAACUACAGCCAGACAAAAAAACGAAUGAGAGGGGUGAAGCGAAACAGUGGACAUCCUGUUUAUAGUUUUCAAUUUUUCUUACUCUUAUACACUGUUUAUGUGGUUUUCUUUGUCUAUUUGGAUGAUUGUUUGACUGUGAUGUUAGACCUUGUGGUGAGGUUAUUUUACCUAGAGCUUGACCCUAUAAGAAUUAGUCUCGAGUGAUUAAUUUUAGGAAGCAAUAACCAAGAUGUGUUAACCAUAUUAUUAGUCGUAACUGAGCGAACACUUUAGUAAAAAAUGGCUUUUAUUUCAA